AUUGAACGCUGGCGGCAGGCCUAACACAUGCAAGUCGAACGAGUGGCGGACGGGUGAGUAAUGUCUGGGGCACUGCCUGAUGGAGGGGGAUAACUACUGGAAACGGUAGCUAAUACCGCAUACCAUCGGAUGUACCCAUAUGGGAUUAGCUAGUAGGUGGGGUAAAGGCUCACCAAGGCGACGCUCCCUAGCUGGUCUGAGAGGAUGAACAGCCACACUGGAACUGGGACACGGCCCAGACUCCUACGGGAGGAAGCAGUGGGGAAUAUUGCACAAUGGGCGCAAGCCUGAUGCAGCCAUGCCGCGUGUAUGAAGAAGGCCUUCGGGUUGUAAAGUACUUUCAGCGGGGAGGCGUUACCCGCAGAAGAAGCACCGGCUAACUCCGUGCCAGCAGCCGCGGUAAUAC
rnacentral:rRNA from 1 species